rnacentral:rRNA from 1 species
UACGUAGGGUGCGAGCGUGUCCGGAAUUAUUGGGCGUAAAGAGCUCGUAGGCGGUUUGUCGCGUCUGCCGUGAAAGUCCGGGGCUCAACUCCGGAUCUGCGGUGGGUACGGGCAGACUAGAGUGCGGUAGGGGAGACUGGAAUUCCUGGUGUAGCGGUGAAAUGCGCAGAUAAUCAGGAGGAACACCGGUGGCGAAGGCGGGUCUCUGGGCCGAUACUGACGUGAGGAGCGAAAGCGUGGGGAGCGAACAGG